GCCAAUUACUAGCCCCAUCCCUUAAUAAAUCAACUACUUCUCUCCAAAUACCAAAACAUUUACUUCAUCCUAGUAUAGGUGAUAGAAAAGAUCCCAUGGGCGCAAUAGUGCAAGUACCGCAAGGGAAAACUGAAAGAUUAAUUAAGGCACCUAAAAGCAAAGACUCAUCCUUGUACCUUUUGCAUAAUGAUUCAGCCAGUCUAACCGGACAAAAAGAACUUAUAGCCCGCCUUCCCGAAAUCAAGUGAGCUACUAUGGAACAGCUUAUAAGAGCCAACUCGUCUAUAUAGCAAAAUAGUGAGAAGAUUCCUUAGUAGAGGUGAAAAGCCUACCGAACUUGAAGAUAGCUGGUUGUCCAAAAUAUGAAUUUCAGUUCAACUUUAAAUCAAAUCAAAGCACUAACUGCUAAGCCUAACUUAGAUUUAAAAGCUAAUCAAAAGGGGGCCAUCCCUUCUGAUCAUGUAGACAAACUUGCUUAGAGGAUAUUGUUGAACAAUAUAGACACAUUGUGGGCCUAAAGGCAGCCAUCAACUAAGAAAGCGUUAAAGCUCAAAUCUAUAAAAUCCUUAAUUCCAACAAUCCUACCCAAAUCCCUAAAUUAAUCAUUGGACGACUCUAUACACUUAUAGAGGACAUUUUGCUGAAAUUAGUAACAAGAAAUACUUCUCCCUGCAUAAGCCUACCUUAGGAACGGAACAACCCACUAAUAAUUAACAAACAAAUAACUAUAACCUAUUAACAAGCAAAUUAUUCCAAUCAAUUGUUAAUCCAACACAGGAGUGCAUCUAGGGAAAGAUUAAAAAGAAUAAAAGGAAUUCAGCAAAUACUAACCUCGCCUGUUUACCAAAAACAUCACCUCUAGAAUACUAAAUAUUAGAGGCAACGCCUGCCCAGUGAGCUCAACUUCAACGGCCGCGGUAUCCUGACCGUGCAAAGGUAGCAUAAUCACUUGUCCCCUAAAUAGAGACUUGUAUGAAUGGCAUCACGAGGGUUUAACUGUCUCUUAUCCUAAAUCAGUGAAAUUGACCUUCCCGUGCAGAGGCGGGAAUAUAAUUACAAGACGAGAAGACCCUGUGGAGCUUAAGACUAUUAGCCUAAUUAUCUCAAGCACUUACCCAAAAGGCAAUAAAGCACAAUUACCUAGGCUACAAUCUUUGGUUGGGGUGACCUCGGAGUAUAAAAUAACCUCCGAAUGAUAUAACCUAGAUCUACUAAUCUAAGUGUAUCAAACCAGUAAUUGACCCAUAUUUUGAUCAACGGACCAAGUUACCCCAGGGAUAACAGCGCAAUCCUAUUAAAGAGCCCAUAUCGACAAUAGGGUUUACGACCUCGAUGUUGGAUCAGGACAUCCAAAUGGUGCAACCGCUAUUAAUGGUUCGUUUGUUCAACGAUUAAAGUCCUACGUGAUCUGAGUUCAGACCGGAGAAAUCCAGGUCGGUUUCUAUCUGUAUAUUAAUUUCUCCCAGUACGAAAGGACAAGAGAAAUAAGGCCUACAUUACCUAUGAGCCUUAACAUAAGAUAUGAACACAUCUAAAUAUCCUAACAUAAUCAAUAUAUACCCUAGAAAAGGGCC
rnacentral:rRNA from 1 species